UGCCCCUUGGCAAAAAUAGAGUCGAAACUGGAUUGGCCUAGUAAAUCCAUUAUGAUGUGAAAAGCCGAUAGACAAAAAUAAG
rnacentral:sRNA from 12 species